UACGUAGGCGGAAAAAUAAGUCAGUGGUGAAAUCCUGCAGCUCAACUGUAGAACUGCCAUUGAAACUAUUUUUCUUGAGUAUAGUUGAGGUGGGCGGAAUGCGUCAUGUAGCGGUGAAAUGCUUAGAUAUGACACAGAACACCGAUUGCGUAGGCAGCUCACUAAACUAUUACUGACGCUGAGGUACGAAAGCGUGGGGAGCGAACAGGAUUAGAUACCCUGGUAGUC
rnacentral:rRNA from 1 species